rnacentral:ncRNA from 1 species
AUUAAAUAGUGCGUUACAAGUGCUGUUGAAUUGAAAUUCAACGGAGAAUAGGAAAAUGGGUUGAAAGCCCAUGCUGUCCCGCAGCUGUAAGCGAGGAGUCUGAUUUCAUAGUGCCACUGGCGUGUAAACGCCGGGAAGGCGAAAUCAAGGUGAUGAUCCGUAAGCCAGAAGACCUGCUUGUAAUGAGAUUCGUUGU